UCCUUGUUAUCCUGUUAGCAUCUCUGUGUAUAAAUAGCCCAGUGUUUCAGUUAGUCUUUAGCUUUGUCCCAAACUGAAGUGUGAGGACUCUGGAGUGCACAUUUGAAGUGUGAUUGCAACACGACGUAAACUGUCCCAAUUCAGAAUGCACCCUCCAAAGACCACAUUCCAAGGCUGACUGUGUCACCAUGGUGCGACGAAGGCUGGUGUAUUUCAAAAGCAACUUCAAAUACACCCUCUGUUUCCCAGGAAAAUUAAAUGUACAUCAGAUGGACACAUUGCACCCUACCAUACCCUAGAAUCACCUGUGCACAGAUGAUGACGGUGUUUAUAUUCAAAGAUCAUGGAGGAUGACAGUUCUGUGGGGGAGUUCGCACUGAAAUGGGAAUGAAGAAUCCAAGAUCUGGGGCCCUGGGGCCCCAGAAAUGGUUAUGCACAGUCCUACUUUCUUCGGACUACUAAAGGUCACCCCGGGUCAAGAAAAGAAAACGAUGCAGUGCCAUAAUGUCCCCAUUAUAUCUGAUUCUGAUGAUAGUAGUAAUGUCAACACCAUAUCGUCUCAUAAUGUUUGUAUCAGUGAGGGCUGUCUUGGGCCGUGGUGAGCUACGGUGGGCCGACCGGGACCGGAUUCCAGGUGAGUGAGGUAAGUUUUAGUGAAGUGAAUGAAAUGAUUGUUAUUUUUGUGUGUUUGUUUUAUUUUGUUCCAGGGGUCAGCCACCGAUGGCCUUACUAGAGAGGGUUGUAAAUGGUCGGGGUGUACUGUAAAGGGCUGUCCACACCGGAUUUACAGGUGAGUGGGUUAGGUUUUAGUGCGGUAGAUGAUGUAGGGUUAUGAGAAAUAGGGCUUUAUGCCCCAGGGGUAUUUUAUGAGGGGUUACUUACGGGUAGGUGUUAGGGAUGAGGUGUGGGUGGUCGGGUUCGGGUUAGGUUAGGUAUAUAGAUAAAAACGAGUUCCAUCCUCAUUAAUUCCACCCUUAUUAGCAUAUGCGAUCUGAUUGGCCAAAGCUUACCUGGCCGUAUCUUUUGAAGCGGAGGUCCGAUGUGCACAUAACUGGUAUCGUUAGGGGAAUGAAACGUCCAAGGUUCAAACCUAAGGUCUGAACCUGGUUGUGCUCGGUCCAUCCGUCCACUGACCACUAAAGACCCAUCCAAGCCAGGCCAAGUUCACAAGCACGCAUCCCCUCUCAUCCUUACAUCUGAUUGUGGGCACGACCUCCCGAUCAAAAGCCUCCCAAUGUGACCC